rnacentral:piRNA from 1 species
UUCAUCUGAAAGAAAACCAGA